rnacentral:rRNA from 1 species
UUGGCCUACGGGGGGCAGCAGUGGGGAAUAUUGGACAAUGGGGGCAACCCUGAUCCAGCCAUGCCGCGUGAGUGAUGAAGGCCCUAGGGUUGUAAAGCUCUUUUGUGCGGGAAGAUAAUGACGGUACCGCAAGAAUAAGCCCCGGCUAACUUCGUGCCAGCAGCCGCGGUAAUACGAAGGGGGCUAGCGUUGCUCGGAAUCACUGGGCGUAAAGGGUGCGUAGGCGGGUCUUUAAGUCAGGGGUGAAAUCCUGGAGCUCAACUCCAGAACUGCCUUUGAUACUGAGGAUCUUGAGUCCGGAAGAGGUGAGUGGAACUGCGAGUGUAGAGGUGAAAUUCGUAGAUAUUCGCAAGAACACCAGUGGCGAAGGCGGCUCACUGGUCCGGUACUGACGCUGAGGCACGAAAGCGUGGGGAGCAAACAGGAUUAGAUACCCUGGUAGUCCACGCUGUAAACGAUGAAUGCCAGCCGUUGGGGAGUUUACUCUUCAGUGGCGCAGUUAACGCUUUAAGCAUUCCGCCUGGGGAGUACGGUCGCAAGAUUAAAACUCAAA